CUGCCUUCGACAAGGAGGGUUAAGUCGUAACAAGGUAUCUGUAGGGGAACCUGCAGAUGGAUCACCUCCUAAGAAA
rnacentral:rRNA from 1 species